GCAGCUUUUCAUUUCAUUCACUUCUCAACAAAUAUUUAUGAGGCUGCUAUUCUGUGCCAGUUCCCGUGCUGGACUCUGGGUAUAAGCUGGGGGAUGAAACAGACAUCGAUCCUGUCAUCACAGAGCUUUCUACGUACCGUCCUGGGGAAGAAGGACAACAAACAGAUGCGUGCAUAACUGAAAUUGGCAAACUGUGUGAAGUGUUUGGAGGCAGUUGGCUCUGGGUGCAUGGAGAGUUAGGGAGCAGAGGACGUCCCAGGAUGAGGACCCAAACGGAAGCUGGGCUCUGUGUGUCAUGGUUCACAGCUCCCUUAUCUGAUGAGGAGAGAGACCCAUUGGCAGAGUCCUCCCAAGAGAUCAAAUUACUACGUUCUUCCUCUUCCCAUUAGAAAUGGAGCCACGUUUAAUGCAGGGGAAAUAUACUUUUAAAUGCAGACCAAAGGCAGUCUGAGCAAAUAAAUGACUUAAGAACAAGAAAGGGCAGAUGUUUGGUACAAGACAAGAUCUCUCAGCAAGUCCAUGUCGCAAAGAUGCAGCCUGAGACUAUGUGCAGAAGAGGGGGUAUUCCAGACUCUUCUAGCCUCCGGAGUCUUCUUCGGCCCUUUCCUCUUCCCUUCCUCGCUGAUGCACUCUGUUGACCCAACUUCCUUGUCCGCCUUCUGGCGUGCAGGGUCCUGGGGGCUCCCGAGGGAGGUGCGGAGUGAAGUUGGCUUAUCCGGACAAAUCAUCCCGCAGGAAAAGGCUGGGACGUGCGGGAUGAGACGCGAGCAAGAUGCGAUCUGCUUGACCCGCCGCUCCGCCAGACGCAGCCUGUCCGGCCUCCUAAAGCGCCUCCCCUAGGGCAACCGGCCCCGCCUCCAACACGCCCAGGCCCCACCCAGGUCCCGCCCCAUCUCCGCCCACCGCCCCGCCCCUUUCGCGGAAUCCCGACCUCUGGCUCUGAUGCUCCGCGUCCCUAAUAGCUCUAUAUGGGGUUGUUUUGAGUCUGUAAACAAACAAACAAAAAAAAAGUGAAACAAAACGAAACUACCAGGAAGGUUUCAUUGUAACGCACCGUUAUUGUUAGAGCCAAACAGCCAGUGCGGUUCACUUAAGGUGAGCCUCCACCUUACCUUCUGAGACAUGGAAAGGUCUUCAAAUCCUGACCCCAUCACAAAGGUCUGACGUUGAAGACUCAUCUCUGCACCCCGAUUCUCACAGGAACUGCUUCUGGCAAGAACUGCACUUCCUCGCCGUCCCAGGAGCUUCCCACGUUCCGCGCCCUGAUUGCAAUCUCUCUAUCAUCCUCAAACUGGGUCCGCUCAGAGGCAGAUUGUGUCUGAGUGGGGAGAUAAAAUCAGCUGGCUUGACUUUUUCUGAGCUUUUGUAGGCCCGUCUACCUGUUAUGGCAAAAUUAGAAUAGCACCAAACCACUUUACACAUUAAAUAUACUUUUUGGGUUUUGCUGUAAAUGUUAUUUGAUCAAAAUGGAGACAAGUGAGUAGAUUAUGCAAGUGUUUAUAUAAACAGAAGGAGAGACAAAGAUAAAUGUAUAUUUACUAAUUUGGAACAGAAAAGGACAAUAGAACAGUAUGCUUUCGAAAGGAACAGUUUUCUAUAGGAAAGGGGAAGAAACGAAUUAGAACAGAAGUAAAAGCUGAUGUCUUUGAGUAUACCUUGUUUUGUAGAUUCAAGGAACCAUGUAAUAUUUUAUAUAACAGUAAAAAAAAAGGAAAUUAUAAAAAAGCAAUAUUUAAUACUGCAAGUGAAAUUUUUAAAUUGCCUGCGUAACCACACUGUGAAGAACUAAGACCAAGAUAACAACCAACACUCUGCGGCACAUUCAGAGGGUACUAGAGGACCAACUCAUGAUUCUGAAAACCAGACUACAGAAGAGGAAGAAACGGAAGCUCAGAGAGAUUGAGUAACUUGCCGGAAGUCACACAGUCAAUGGAGGCAUCAGGAUUUGAACACAAGCAGUUUGGUUUCACGAUCCAUGCUCUUAACCACUAUGUUAAUCUACGAAUUAUUUUCCAAUAGAAGAACCUUUUUUUGAACACUGGAUUGAACAAUUAAUGAAGUUGACAAAUGUGAUACUUUGUACACAUUUAUUUAACAUUUAUUAACUUUUUGA